rnacentral:rRNA from 1 species
UACCAGCUCUCCGAGUGGUGUGGAUGUUUAUUGGGCCUAAAGCAUCCGUAGCUGGCUGGGCAAGUCCCCUGUUAAAUCCACCGAUUUAAUCGUUGGUGUGCGGGGGAUACUGUUCGGCUAGGGGACGGGAGAGGCCGACGGUAUUUUCGGGGUAGGGGUGAAAUCCUAUAAUCCCGGGAAGACCACCAGUGGCGAAGGCUGUCGGCUAGAACGCGCCCGACGGUGAGGGAUGAAAGCUGGGGGAGCGAACCGGAUUAGAUACCCGGGUAGUCCCAGCUGUAAACGAUGCAGGCUAGGUGUUUGGGCGGCCACGAGCCGCUCUAGUGCCGCAGGGAAGCUGUUAAGCCUGCCGCCUGGGGAGUACGGCCGCAAGGCUGAAACUUAAAGGAAUUGGCGGGGGAGCACCACAAGGGGUGAAGCCUGCGGUUU